rnacentral:rRNA from 1 species
AUGUCAAGUAUAUGUUCGUAUGACCACGAGAUCAUGCAACUCAUUGACACCGGAGGAGUACCUUGUGUCCUUCCUCCACCGAAAUUGCCGUGCAGACGACAGUACACACACGACAUGCACCCAACACUUAUAUCAAACGGUGGAGUAGUGCUGCUGCAUGCAUCAGAUGGCAUGAACUUCCGCAUCAUUCAGAAAUCGUCUAUGUACUAUCGUGUGUAUAGCAGGGUUCUUCCUCCACACUAUCUUCGUCCAUAUUUAAUAGUCCCUUCCCAGGUUGAAUGGAAGGAAACUAAUAAAAGAUAA